GACGAACGCUGGCGGCGUGCUUAACACAUGCAAGUCGAACGAAGAGCGAUUGCAGCUUGCUUCUCUCAAUCUUAGUGGCGACCGGGUGAGUAACGCGUAAUCAACCUGCCCUUCAGAGGGGGCCAACAGUUGGAAACGACUGCUAAUACCGCAUACGCUCUAUACUCGGCAUCGAGGAUAGAUGAAAGGUGGCCUCUACAUGUAAGCUAUCACUGCAGGAGGGGAUUGCGUCUGAUUAGCUAGUUGGAGGGGUAACGGCCCACCAAGGCGAUGAUCAGUAGCCGGUAGGAGAGGAGGAACGGCCACAUUGGGACGGAGACACGGCACAGACUCAUAGGGGAGGCAGCAGUGGGGAAUCUUCAGCAAGGGACGAAAGUCUGACGGAGCAACGCCGCGGGAGUGAUGACGGCCGUCGGGUUGUAAAGCUCGGUUAAUCGGGACGAAAGGGCUUCUUGCGAAUAGUGAGAAGGAUUGACGGUACCGGAAUAGAAAGCAACGGCUAACUACGUG
rnacentral:rRNA from 1 species